GUGAAUCAUCGAAUUUUUGAACGCAAAUUGCGCUUCCUGGCAUCCCGGGAAGUAUGCCUGUUUGAGGGUCAGUAUUAACAAAAAAUCGGUUUGGUUGCAAAUUGUGACGUUUCCGGAGUUUGGGCUAUCUUAACUUUUUGGGUUAGGGGGCUUAAAAUGACCUUUUUUUCGGCUUUUUUGACCGACCUUAAUUUUUUUUUUUAUUCGUUUAUUUUUAUUGCAAAAACUUUUUUAGAUCCA
rnacentral:misc_RNA from 1 species